rnacentral:rRNA from 1 species
CGCACAAGCGGAGGAGCAUGUGGCUUAAUUCGAUGCAACGCGAAGAACCUUACCAGGGCUUGACAUGCAGCUGCAUGUUCGUCGAAAGGCGGACAGCCUUCGGGGGUGCUGCACAGGUGCUGCAUGGCUGUCGUCAGUUCGUGCCGUGAGGUGUUGGGUUAAGUCCCGCAACGAACGCAGCCCCUGUGUCUAGUUGCUACCGGGUAAAGCCGGGCACUCUAGACAGACUGCCUGUAUAAGCAGGAGGAAGGUGGGGACGACGUCAAGUCAGUAUGGCCCUUACGCCCUGGGCUGCACACGUGCUACAAUGGCUGGUACAAUGGGAUGCAAAGCCGCGAGGUGGAGCUAAUCCAGAAAGCCAGCCCCAGUUCAGAUUGCAGUCUGCAACUCGACUGCAUGAAGUUGGAUUCGCUAGUAACGGCGCAUCAGCUACGGCGCCGUGAAUACGUUCCCGGGCCUUGUACACACCGCCCGUCACAUCAUGAAAGCUGUCUGCACCCGAAGUCGUUGAACCAACCCGCAAGGGAGGUAGAUGCCUAAGGUGUGGGUAGUGAUUGGGAUGAAGUCGUAACAAGGUAGCCGUA